rnacentral:lncRNA from 1 species
AGGGUGAAAGACGUUUGAGAUGAAAGAAGAAAUGUCGGUUAGUAAAAGUAAUCAGAGAAACAAAAGAUUUGAAGGGAUUUGCUUUUACUUUUCAGUGGCCUUGGACAGAGGAAAAGACAACAUGAUUAAUGCAGGCUAUUGACCGUUCGGCUGGAGUUUUGAUUUUUUGAUUUUUUUAAUUUUGUUUGUUUUUGGGCUAAACUAAUGUAAGGCCGUUUUUCUUGUUUUUUAGGAUUUAAUUAUUGGGUCUAGCCCAAUAUGGACAAUUGUGUUUUAUUUCCAUGUCUAAUCCAGUCGAAUUUAAAAAAAAAACAUAUAUUAUUAUAUUAUUAUUAUUUUACCUUUUAUU